rfam:Dipodomys ordii contig_22719, whole genome shotgun sequence.
GAGAAGGUGGCUCAGUGGUAGAGUGUUUGCCUCACAUGCAAGAGACCCUGGGUUCGAUUCCUCAGCAUCA